AGUGCACCAAUAGAACUAAGAUAUAGUACUUUGAGACCAAAAAUCUCUUCACCCUCUUUUAGAGGUCGGAAUGGAUCUUUACUUAUAUCAAGUGAUCAAACAACCAUGAGAGUACUUAAUGGAUAUGCUUUGUCUAUGUAAAAGCGUUUCAAACCCUUCUGGAUAUAGGCAGUUUGGUGGAUGAAGACUCCAUCUGCUAAAUGUUCAAUUUGCAAAUUAAGAUAAAGUUUUAUAUUU
rnacentral:lncRNA from 1 species